GUGACGGCAAAAAGGGAAACGGCGGCAGUUUGUAUUAGACGGCCCUGGUAAUUAACGGGACCAAAAGUCGGGCGUGCCUUGAAAUUCUGAUACACCUUCACGUUAACGCGGGAGAUGCUGGCUUUGCUGAAAACGAGGGGUUCUAACGGGCCUUGGGGUGUGCUUAAGUUGGGAUUUCAUUGGGAUGGCUAGGAGAAUUUUCGGUUCGCGGAUGAUGGUGCAGAUUAAUUUCUCGUCAUAGUUAUAGGAAUUAUGAUGAAAGUUGGGGACGCGUUCGCGGGACGUAACAUGAACGGAAGAUUGAUCAUCAUUCGUUUGACUGUUGGUCCUUCGUUUUUACCCCUGGACUUUUAAGUGGUUCGAGUAUACGAGAACCAUACCUACGGAUGUCGAAAUGCGCAGACUCUAAGUGGAUGUAACAAACGAUCGUGGUCCCUAUCUUUUCCUUUUCCUCUUCCUCUUCCUCUUCCUCAUCCUCUUCCGCCUAGUCUUCUCUCUAUAAAAUUCUAUUAUUUACCCAUUCUAAAUGCACCGCAGAAUCUGAUUCGAUUCGAAUUCCUUGUACGACAAGGCAUCGCCUCUAGAUCGCGUCUGCCUUCGACGUUUCAACUGUGAAAGGACAGCACCCUUUCUAGUUCCUCUCCUUUCCUACCACGAGAAUUGGCGAGGUAAACGAAUUCCGGUAUCGAUCUCGCCGAGGCUGUACGGUUAAGAGGGUUACGCAACAUACGUGGUGGUGCUGGGAUUAAGGCGGCACCUUAUACAUAUACGCCCGCUUGAACGAGCCUGCAAACGUGAACGAUACAGCCUAGGAACCCUUACUGCCAGGUUGGAAAGCAUUAUUUCUCCGGGGUGAGUUUACAAACACAGACUCUGCGUUUCUGGUAAAAGGACUCGUUGUUCGGUAACCCGCCAGUCUAAACCCAACGUGCCGGAGCAACGGAAGCCGGAAGUUGGUUUCCUUGGAGAAUUGCUGUUUACGUUGACCCAGAAGGUAUACGCAAAUAUGAGUCUUUUACUCUCGGAUAACACAACGGCCCUCAUUCACGUUCCCCAAUACAGGACUCCGGCCGGACUAGCUUUGUCCUUGGGUCUUGAAUUCAGCGGCCUCGUAAGAGCGCGCAGUCUGUCUUUACAAGUUUAUGGUGGCAACGCAUGCUUCCUAAUGGUAUUUAUCGGACGUAUACGUCAGACUUCCACACAUAUAGCAAAUUCCCGUUUUUAUGGGCUACAUGAGGUGUAAUGAUAACAUCAGCGAGAAAGUCAGAGAUUAAUCAGUGUAGUUCUCGACCUUGAACAUUAGGUCAUUUGUGGGAUUUAUUCUAGAAAUCAAAUAUUGAACACAUCAUAAAUUUGUAGAUGAACAAUAUGUACAUAUUUAUUCAUACUUCGUUAAGUUACAUUAUGUAUUAUUAAACUAAGACAUUUUUUUAAAGACUACGAAUAAAUGGUGAAAUGU
rnacentral:lncRNA from 1 species